GGCGGUUCUCAGGUGACGCACCCUGGAAUCAGGCUCCCUCCUCUCUGGUGUCACCCAAGAACCUCA
rfam:Myotis lucifugus cont2.11052, whole genome shotgun sequence.